rnacentral:rRNA from 1 species
AGAGUUUGAUCAUGGCUCAGGAUGAACGCUAGCGGCAGGCCUAACACAUGCAAGUCGAGGGGUAACAUAAAGUGCUUGCACUUUGAUGACGACCGGCGCACGGGUGCGCACCGCGUAUGGAACUGCCCUUUGCAGGGGAAUAGCCCAGAGAAAUUUGGAUUAAUGCCCCGUGGUACCUUCUUAUAGCAUUAUAUAAAGGUUAAAGCUUUCGGGCGGCAAAGGAUGGCCAUGCGUCCCAUUAGCUAGUUGGCAAGGUAACGGCUUACCAGGGCUACGAUGGGUAGGGGCCCUGAGAGGGGGAUCCCCCACACUGGUACUGAGACACGGACCAGACUCCUACGGGAGGCAGCAGUGAGGAAUAUUGGACAAUGGGCGAAGGCCUGAUCCAGCCAUGCCGCGUGCAGGAAGAAUGCCCUAUGGGUAGUAAACUGCUUUUAUACGGGAAGAAAAAGGGCCACGUGUGGCCUGUUGACGGUACCGUAAGAAUAAGGACCGGCUAACUCCGUGCCAGCAGCCGCGGUAAUACGGAGGGUCCGAGCGUUAUCCGGAAUUAUUGGGUUUAAAGGGUCCGUAGGCGGGCCGUUAAGUCAGGGGUGAAAGUCUGCGGCUCAACCGUAGAAAUGCCUUUGAUACUGGCGGUCUUGAGUCAUGGUGAAGUGGGCGGAAUAUGUAGUGUAGCGGUGAAAUGCAUAGAUAUUACAUAGAACACCGAUUGCGAAGGCAGCCCACUAACCAUGUACUGACGCUGAUGGGCGAAAGCGUGGGGAGCGAACAGGAUUAGAUACCCUGGUAGUCCACGCCGUAAACGAUGGAUACUAGCUGUCCGGGCCCUUGAGGUCUGGGCGGCCAAGCGAAAGUGAUAAGUAUCCCACCUGGGGAGUACGUUCGCAAGAAUGAAACUCAAAGGAAUUGACGGGAAGGGCGAAUUCGCGG